rnacentral:rRNA from 1 species
CGCGUAGGCGGGGCCCUAAGUCAGUUGUGAAAACUCCAGGCUUAACUUGGAGAUUGCAUCUGAUACUGGGGUUCUUGAGUGCAGGAGAGGACAGUGGAAUUCCUAGUGUAGCGGUGAAAUGCGUAGAUAUUAGGAGGAACACCAGUGGCGAAGGCGGCUGUCUGGACUGUAACUGACGCUGAGGCGCGAAAGCGUGGGGAGCAAACA